rnacentral:misc_RNA from 1 species
CCCCAAAGUGCACGUGCGCGACAUGUGCGGCAUCUCGGACGGUUGGCCGGGUGGGCGGGUGCCGCACAGAUGCCAGAGGCACGGCGAGAGAACCCCCACGCUGCAUCAUCGGAGGGGAAAGGAGGGGGAGGGUCCUCCAGACCCGAAUGUAACCAGUCACCCGAGCAUACUAUGGAAUGCGGCCCCGCUUAAUGCGACUGAGGAAGACGCACGGCCUAUGGGCAGGGUGCAGGGUUUCCGAGAGGGUGCUGACUUGAGGCUGCCCGAUUUCCUCCUUGCGCACAUCCGGCAUGCACCUGGACCACGCGCUGCAACCCGCAUGAUGCAAGCUCCACCGCUUCCGCCCUCGAGCAGGACCCUGGAUGCGGCCCGCUUUGGAUGAAGGCAAGUGGUGCACCCUGAGUCCGUCUGGCGCCUACCGCGCAGCAUUUAUCCGAAGGGGAGACGAAAAAGGAGGAGGACAGUCGGUGGGGUGCACGGCGCAAGUCAAUGUCAGCACGGUUCAUCCUCGACGACCAGAAUGAGGCAAUGGUGCAGCAGAGGUAGGGCACCUGUGGUUGUGUGCACGCGUAUACAUUUGUGGACGUGUUCGUGGUGGAAUGGACAGGCUGAAAAAAAAGGAUCUUUUUUACCCUCAUGACAGGUAGAGAAGGCACCGUAGCGCGGGGUAUAUCUGGGUCCAGCACCCCACUCUGUGAUAAAGCCAAGCAAGCCCCAUCCCCUGCCAGUCCCGAAUCGCCUUCGGUGGCGACAAGCACCCUACGGCGUAGGGAGUGGUCAGAGCGAUGCAUCGCUGCGGAUGUCGGCGCUCGGGUCCUGGAUGGCAUUGCGUCGAAGUGGCCUGCCACAGUGAAGGCGUUUCUAUG